rnacentral:rRNA from 1 species
UACGAAGGGGGCUAGCGUUGCUCGGAAUCACUGGGCGUAAAGCGCACGUAGGCGGACUCUUAAGUCAGGGGUGAAAUCCUGGAGCUCAACUCCAGAACUGCCUUUGAUACUGAGAGCCUUGAGUCCGGAAGAGGUAAGUGGAACUGCGAGUGUAGAGGUGAAAUUCGUAGAUAUUCGCAAGAACACCAGUGGCGAAGGCGGCUUACUGGUCCGGCACUGACGCUGAGGUGCGAAAGCGUGGGGAGCAAACAGG